rnacentral:rRNA from 1 species
GGUGCAUGGUUGUCGUCAGCUCGUGUCGUGAGAUGUUGGGUUAAGUCCCGCAACGAGCGCAACCCUCGUUCUAUGUUGCCAGCACGUGAUGGUGGGAACUCAUAGGAGACUGCCGGGGUCAACUCGGAGGAAGGUGGGGAUGACGUCAAAUCAUCAUGCCCUUUAUGUCUUGGGCUUCACGCAUGCUACAAUGGCUGGUACAGAGAGAUGCGAGACCGCGAGGUUUUAGCGAAUCCCUUAAAGCCAGUCUCAGUUCGGAUCGUAGUCUGCAAUUCGACUACGUGAAGUCGGAGUCGCUAGUAAUCGCAGAUCAGCAACGCUGCGGUGAAUACGUUCCCGGGCCUUGUACACACCGCCCGUCAAGUCACGAAAGUCGGUAACACCCGAAGCCGGUGGCCCAACCCCCUUGUGGGGAGGGGGCCGUCUAAGGUGGGACUGGCAAUUGGGACU